AGGCUCGUUGACAUGACUGAUAACGGGAGGCCAUCAUGGGGCAAAAGCCAUGUUCAUCCAGACACCUUCCAAACGGACCAAGUCACGCUGACGGUCGUGUUCAGAAAGCUUCAACCGGUUGUUUUCCAAUCCUCGCUAAUAUAUUGGGUCAACAGUCAUGUCUGUCAAACCCUUCCUAUAGCACUUGCAAGCCUGAAAUACUUUUUACAAUGUUAAUGAGGAUGGGAGAGGACUUUUCCUGUCCUAGGAACAGGCUUAGCAUAAUAGUUUUUUUCUGUCCAUGUAAGAUCUGUUCUGCCGAUGGGGUGGAAAGAAAAAGGCCCCUGCAAAAACAGUGCUUGGAGUUUGCUGCUUUCUAUACACGCAUCGCAGUGGCGAAUGACUUCCCUCCAAAUGAAAGCUCAUGGUGAAACAAGACAGCAACAAAAGCACCAAGGUUUCCUGCACCAUGUUAUUUGCUCGGGCUGUUCAUUUCCCACCCACAGGAAGACAGAACAACAACACGGGUUGCUGCUCUUGUGUAGCUGUGUGACUUUUCCCAAGAAUUAGGAGAUUUUGCCUGCGACCAACUUCCCACUCGGUUAACACCUCCUUAUCUGAAGGCCAGGCGCUUGCAGAGGCGGGGAGCAAGGCUGCGAAGCUCAGCGCUGCCCCGAGUGUGUGCUCCUGCGCUCCGCUGCCUCCGAGGGAUUAUUUAAUGGCUUGUUUCCCAAGGGGAUUAAGCUGAACCUGAUAAAGGCGCUAUCAGCAUCCACCCAUGCAGACAUUGAUAAGUAUAUAUUCCAUCAGAGCUGCCCUUCGUUUCUUUUCCAAGUUAGACAAGCUCCAGAGCAGGGAUUUCUGAAAGCAUCCAAGAGGCUUAGCGACACAUCAGCUGUCUGAUUUUUAGCAGGAUUCGUGGUCCUCUAAAGACCUUCUCUAAAGAUAGCCAGAGAUGACAGAGUGUUUGCAAAUAUCAAUUCCUGUUCUGGACAGCCGUUCGCGUCGGCCACAUUUGUUCCCCAUUUCUUGACCACGGAGGCGUCUCUGGUUUAUGAUGUCUGUGGGAAUUCACACCAAAACCCGUGCCUUCACACCAGCACCCAUGCUCUCGUGGGACGUGUUCCUGGUUCUCUGGUGGCUGGCCAAGAAUCAGCACCUAGUAAUGAGCAGCCAAAGCAAGCAGCACAUUAACAUCCCACAAGCUGUAACAGAUAAAAUAUCUGACAAGCAUUUGUGAAUAAAAUAGGAUCUAUUUUCUUUUUCUAGGGUUGA
rnacentral:lncRNA from 1 species